GUAGGCCUCCUGUUGUUCAAAGAUGAGCUAGUCAGUCUUUGGAAACCAUCUUCGAGGAAGAACUAGGAGCUGAACAGCAAUCAAAAUGACCUUUGCACUGGAAAAGACAGAACAACAAUGCAUAAUAAGGAAUUAACACCCAAGAUGUAACCUGAGGCUGAGUGACUUGUCCAGAGACAUAUAGCGAAGUGAUGCCCAAGCUAGAAUUUGACCUUUAUUCUUCCUGACUCGA